GAUCACACCCGAAGGCGUCCGGGAAUCUUCACUUUUUCCGUUGCUAGCAGUGGAAGGGUCACAGACCAAACACUAAGGCCUGAGCGGUGACAACCGAGGCGAGAUGAUGGUCAACAGGGAAUGCCUCGUGGGAGAAAAAAGACAAUUUUAUUCUCAGUGCUGAUUUUGAGAUGAUGGGCUUGGGAAACGGGCGCCGUGGAGCUGAAGAAGAACGAGUUCCAGGGAGAGCUGGAGAAGCAGCGGGAGCAGCUUGACAAAAUCCAGUCCAGCCACAACUUCCAGCUGGAGAGCGUCAACAAGCUGUACCAGGACGAAAAGGCGGUUUUGGUGAAUAACAUCACCACGGGUGAGAGGCUCAUCCGAGUGCUGCAAGACCAGUUAAAGACCCUGCAGAGGAAUUACGGCAGGCUGCACCAGGAUGUCCUCCAGUUUCAGAAGAACCAGACCAACCUGGAGAGGAAGUUCUCCUACGACCU
rnacentral:sRNA from 1 species